rnacentral:tRNA from 1 species
AGCCAGCAUAGUGUAGUGGUUUGAGUGUUGGACUAGGACUCUGGAGAUCAGGGUUCAAAUCCCUGCUUGGCUA